GACGAACGCUGGCGGCGUGCUUAACACAUGCAAGUCGAACGGAAAGGCCCUGCUUUUGUGGGGUGCUCGAGUGGCGAACGGGUGAGAAACACGUGAGUAACCUGCCCUUGACUUUGGGAUAACUUCAGGAAACUGGGGCUAAUACCGGAUAGGAGCUCCUGCUGCAUGGUGGGGGUUGGAAAGUUUCGGCGGUUGGGGAUGGACUCGCGGCUUAUCAGCUUGUUGGUGGGGUAGUGGCUUACCAAGGCUUUGACGGGUAGCCGGCCUGAGAGGGUGACCGGCCACAUGGGGACUGAGAUACGGCCCAGACGCCUACGGGAGGCAGCAGUGGGGAAUAUUGCACAAUGGGCGGAAGCCUGAUGCAGCAACGCCGCGUGCGGGAUGACGGCCUUCGGGUUGUAAACCGCUUUCGCCUGUGACGAAGCGUGAGUGACGGUAAUGGGUAAAGAAGCACCGGCUAACUACGUG
rnacentral:rRNA from 1 species